rnacentral:misc_RNA from 1 species
UCGAUUCAACGAAGUGCCUGUGAGUUGUGCUGGCCUCUCUCGGGGCAUGUGCACGCUUCAUGGGUCUUCACACAUCCACACCUGUGAACCAAUUGUAGGUCUUUCGGGACCUAUGUCUUCUCAUAACACACUGUAUGUCUAGAAUGUCAUUACGAUUAUCGUCUGCUUCCUCUGUGGAGUUGGGCUGAUAAGAUAAACAAUAUA